AUCUGGGCGGCGAAAUUCAGGAUGACUGGCGGGCCUCGCGCACGUCCGGUCGUCUGCAUGUUUUCGUUGCCGUGUCAGACGUCGCGACCUGUUCGUCGUCGGUCCUUGCUCGGAGGAAUCGCGUUCGAGUUCGUUGUGGGCGCGUUUCGGCGCGCCAUACGGCGAAGGCGCGGGUCUCUGACUGACGACGGACAGUAAGCAACGGUGGCCGGCGUCGUGUCUCGCACUCGGCGCCGGUGCCGGUCAGCGACGAUUUCUUCGGGCCUCUUUCCGACCCGUCUUGAAACACGGACCAAGGAGUCUAACAUGCGCGCGAGUCGCGGGGUAUCGAGCGUACUACGGUGCGUUCGUUACGUCACGAAACCCGUACAUGAAAGGCGUAAUGAAAGUGAAUGGGGAAGAUGGUGUUCCGAGUACACGUACCGUGAUCGAGUAUCGCGGCCGGACGCCCGCAUUCCCAGGGCGUCUCAACGGUUCGUCGCGAACGCGGACGGUCGUCUUUCGGGGCGGCCGUCGGUCUGCGACGGACCGA
rnacentral:rRNA from 1 species